AGCUUCAAAGCAUAGAGCAAAACAAGUGCCAGGGCCUGAGGAGGCAGUGAACUUGGUGUAUUUCUGGAAGAGCAAGUAGACUCGUGUGGCUGAAGAGGAAUGAGGCAGAACUCCAAGUCUGCAGGCAUGGCAAUGAAUCAACUGGUUACUCAAGAUAUGACUGCCAAACUAUUAGAUACACUGGUUAUAGUCCUCCCGGUAAAAUAUUUCAAAAACACUUAACUAAGAGGUCAAUUGUUAUGGCUGUGCAAAUCCAAAGCUUUGGAAAGUGGAGACAUAUUCUGAAGACGGAAG